CCUACGGGAGGCAGCAGUGGGGAAUAUUGGGCAAUGGGGGAAACCCUGACCCAGCAACGCCGCGUGAAGGAAGAAGGCUUUCGGGUUGUAAACUUCUUUUACCAGGGACGAAGAAAGUGACGGUACCUGGAGAAAAAGCUCCGGCUAACUACGUGCCAGCAGCCGCGGUAAUACGUAGGGAGCGAGCGUUGUCCGGAUUUACUGGGUGUAAAGGGCGUGUAGGCGGAGCUGCAAGUCAGAAGUGAAAUCUCCGGGCUCAACCCGGAAACUGCUUUUGAAACUGUAGCCCUUGAGUAUCGGAGAGGCAGGCGGAAUUCCUAGUGUAGCGGUGAAAUGCGUAGAUAUUAGGAGGAACACCAGUGGCGAAGGCGGCCUGCUGGACGACAACUGACGCUGAGGCGCGAAAGCGUGGGGAGCAAACAGGAUUAGAUA
rnacentral:rRNA from 1 species